rnacentral:lncRNA from 1 species
UCAUCACUAACGAGAUAAUAAGAUAUAAUUCUACCCUACUAAUUCAUCCAAACAAAUAGGCUAAAUUACAGAAAACCUCCCUGUCAAAAUCCGAUUUUUCAUUUUUUCCCUCUGUCAUUUAAAAACCUACACUUUGCCUUCUUGUAAAAGAAAAAAUAUUCACAGAAGGUUUGGUGUGAACUAUGAUGAUAAAAUGACCAUUUUGUCCCUCACCAUGUUAAUAGGAGAAAAGGCUGAGGGCAUUUUUGGCAUAAAAAAUAUAUAGUAAUAUUUUAUAAACAGAAUCCUAACGGAUUACUAAAGGCAGGAGGCGAAGAGAACAUUUUUCAUUUUAUAAGGGAGCAAAGUAUAGAUUGUUAAAUGAGGGGGAAAAAUAAAAAAUCGGAUUUUGACAGAGAGGUUUUAUAUAAGUUAGCCAAACAAAUACAAACAAUUUGAGCAAAAACAACUUCAAU